ensembl:lncRNA
AGAAAAUUACUUCUCUAAAUACUCAACCACAUAAUCUUUAUCCAAACAUGAUAUACCACACUGUCAUGGUUGUAUGAUUUUUGGUUAUCAGUAUUCCACAUCACAACAUCAUGCAGUGUACUGGGAGUUAAAGAUCAAAUGCUUUAGUUCAGGUACCCGUCUGGAAGAGAAGAAGAACUACGUUCCCCAAGAGCCUUUUCGAGUACUGUUAUCUUUCCUGCUCAAGGGAACAGAUUUAAGGGCGCAGGUCAUCUGACUCGGCCUCUCUUCUCGUCUCGCUGUGUUCCCUGUCGGAUUGGCUCGCUACUGGUUCUCCCAACUGCACGCAAGGCUUCAGUAUUAGCAUCGUUGCCACUGUUUUUAAUUAUUUUGGGGUCCCCUGUUUCCCUUCCUGAAGGAGCGGAUUUUGCGAAAUCUCUCCACCCCACUAGUCAUGGAACCGGAACGGACCAGCCCUUAAACCAUUGACACACACAUACAAUAAGAUAUCAAGCUGGAAUGCAUGGACAACUGCAAACCUUGCACAAGUCUGAUGCCGCACAUCACUACUGUGGAAUAAAACCCUGGAGAGAAGAGAGGGCCAAGUUAAGCUGGUUACUAUUGAAGGAUCACUUACUUCCUCCAAGGUCAAGAGUGAUGUAUCCCAACAAAGUGGAGGCCAGGCAAAAAUGCCAGGAGGUCUGCAUGGAUGAGCGAGAAGGUCAUGGGCAAAUGCAAACACAAAAAGGAAACAUAUGGAAGGUGGAAGCAAAAACAAUAAGCCUGGAAGGAAUACAAAGUGUUCUUAGAGCAUCCAUGGAUGGAGUUAGGAAAGCUAAAGCCCAGAGAAAAAUGAAUCUGGCCAGUGACAUCAAGGGCAACAAGAAAGGCUUCUCCAAGUACAUUAGUGACAAAAGACAGACUAGGGAAAAUGUGUGUGUUCUCUGGAAAAAAACUAGGAGAAGACUGAGGUUUUCAAUGCCAUUUUUGCCACGUUUUUUUUUUUUUUUUUUUUUUUUUUCACCAAAAAGUGUUCUAGCCACACUGCCAAAGUAACAGAAGGCAAAGGCAGGAUGGAAGAAGAACUGCCUACUAUAGGAGAAUGUUUACAUUUCGGUGUAUAGCACAGAGCACCUGGACAACCCAGUCUUCUUGUUCAGCUAUGUUUUCUGAUUUGCUAAAAUGGUUGCUGUGAAAGUAAUGCCUCCUGUUUUACGAUGUUGGCUCACAAUGUCAGAAGCAGAUGAUGUUGAUAUGGCAGUAGAGGUUGAACCUUCCCAACAAUAUUCUAUUACAUGUUGUUGCCACACAACAGAUGACAGCAGAGGGGCAGUCUGACAAAAUGAUAUCUGACGUGAAAGUGCAGAGGAGCGUGACUGAAUUACCCCAUGAGGAAAAAAAAAUGUACUCACUGAUGUUCAACAAAGCUUGCAGAAUGUUUCUGGAGAUCAAACAGUGGAUGUGGGCACAGUGAGGUGAUGGGUGGUGUGUUUCAACAGUGGUAACAGUGACACAAAAGACAAGCCCUGUUCCAGACAGCCAUGCAGAAUUUUAUGAAGGCAUCAUGCAAGCUCUUGUUCAUCGCUGAUGAAAAUGUAUAACUAAUGAUCUUGACUAUGAUGAAAAACAGUGUUUUGUAGCUGGGAAAUUGCUCUAUCAAAUAGUGUUACUGUGCUCUUUUUAUCUGUUGUAGCUUCCAUGGAAAUAAAAAAUCAGCAUUACUUUCAAAGUGACUUACUGUCAGUGGUUUACAGGCUGGUUUGGCCUGGUUCUGUGACUAGUGGGAGGAGGGAUCCACAAAUCCGCACCUCCGGAAAGGGUUGACAGGGGACCCUGAAAAAUUAAAAGCAGCAGCAACAAUCUGAGGAGAAACAAACUAAUUUACUAAAUACAGUAUCAGGAUGCAAGAUAACACUCUAUAAUACAGUAUAAUUAGAAUUGAAGCCAAUAAAUCAAAUAUAAUGAGAAACAGUGUCCAAAAGGUGGAAAGGCCUCACCAUAAUGCUGAAGUGAGAAGCACAGUUGGAUCAAGCAGCAGGGAGAAGAGCCAAAAAAAGGGCAGGUCAGGUGAUCUACGAAAGCUUAUAUCCCCUCUCUGAAUGCAGAGUCCUCUGUGGUAUGUAGUUCUUCUCUUUUGGACAGGUGCCUGGAACUGGAGCAUUGACUCUUUAACUCCCAGUUUACUACAUGAUGUUAUGGUGUGGAAUAUCAAUAACCAAAAAUCAUAAAACCAUGGCAUCUAUGUAUUUCACAUCUCUCAUCUGCGAUGUGCACCUGCAAUUCUUUCCUGCCAAAGUUAGAGCAGUGAGGACCCAUGUGAAUGUCCAUCCUGAAGUCUUACUUUUGCAAUAAUUUAGAGUAGCAGAAGUGGUUUGUAUUCAUAUGCUUGGUAUCUUGAGAUUACUUAGUGGAAAUGUUGUCUAGGAUGACACCAUUAAUAUAAAAAUAUAAAAACACAAGAGAAAUAUUCUAGAUUUCUGACAUGAACAGGAAGAAGCUUUGCUAUGAUAAUUUUUUUUGGUCAGAGAAAAUAAGUAAAUGAAUAAAUUCUGAGUGGAAUGAUGAAAAAAAGGAACAUUUGAGAUUUUUUAAAGUUGUUUUUAAAUACAAAAGCCAUGGAUUCUGGAAAGCUGUAAAGAAUGUUGUAAAUGGAAGUCUGAUACUAAUUUUUGUUUGAGGAAUUUGGAACUAGCAUGGCGCAUGAAGAUGUCUUCAGUUCCAAUGGAAGCUGAGUAUAGAUAUAACAGACUAGACAAAGUUGAUCAGAUAGCACACCAAUACCCACCCAUCCAUCUCCAGUUUCAUAUUUCCUGAUAGGAUUUCUGUGUUCAAAUGCCAAUCUGAAGGCAUUUUGUAUGUCAGCUAUUUGUAAAUAGUCCUUCCUUACUUAAAAAAUGGUUUCCAGUGCCUGUGUUGUGUUAAUACACUGGAUUCACGCCCAUUCAAAUCCUCAUGCAUAUUUAUUACAUGAUGAGUUUUUAUUGUCGAUUAGAAGUGACAAGAACAGGCUCUCUGACUAAAAAAAAAAGUGCUAUGCAUACAUUUACAUAUAUAUGCCUUUUUGAAAUGGGACAGUAAGCUACCAAUAGGGUUCCUGUGCUAUAUAUACUUAUCUCCUAACAAUGUUAACCUGCUUAUUAUUGUUAACAUGCCCUUAAAAAAACUCUCAUAUUCAUAGUUUCCCAAUUCCAAGCACUAGACUGUAUGCACUGCCCAAGAAUUCUGCUCAGCAGUCAGCGUCCAAUCUAUCUGUCAAGGAUAUGGCUAUCCAUGGUGAUUGUGUCCAGAUAUUAGGAUGCACCCUUUCCAAUGAUGUGGAAGAUGGCAAGACUGUUAACAAGUUCUUUUCAUGUCUUCUGGGUUAGUGACCAUAUACAUAUUUCAAAUAUUUUUUUUUCUACCAUUUUGGAUCUAGCAUUUUCUCCAUUCUUGUCCAUCUUUGUGAACUAGCACCUUUUUUUUGUCUCAUAGUAUGAGUGUUACAUAAAACUGCAGGUAGAUAUGCUGGAGUUUGAAUGACCUACUGUCUAGAUGAUAGCGGGCACUGAGUAUUCUUUCCUUGCUACAUGUUUCGGCUGCUGCCUCCACACCCAGGUGAUCUCAUUUGUUCUCCAUCACAUAAAUCUUAGCCUUCCUGAUGCAAUUCUUUACAACUUUAUAGCACUCCAUUGACUUUCAAUUUGAAACAUCUUUGCUGAGAGCUAUAUGACUUCUUCUGCUCCUAACAACAUUGCCAGGUCUCUGUGUGAUUGGGGAAAAUUCCUGUAAUUGAAAGAUGAAUAACUGGAUUGAAGGCUCUCAAAGGACUAAAAUUGACUUUUCUUGUGCCAAAAAUAGUAGGAGGACAGCUCCACAAGUUAAUGCAUUGUAGCUGCACCAUUACAAGAGAUCCACUUGGUUUUCUCUAGAGUGCCUCAUAUAAUCUACAUAGAAAAUAUGCCACUUGAAUGAGAAGCAAAAGGGAAAUAGGAAGUCAUUUGCAAUGGCAGUGUAGAUGCACUCAUAACAUAUAUCUAGAUUUAUCUGCUGAUGUAAGUUACAUGAUGAAUUGAAGGAUCUCAAGACCUCCAAAUGAAAAAUGUCUUUGAGCACUUUCUAGUCCUUUGCAAGAUAUAUGAAAGAGAGGGUUAAGUACUAGCCAUAUGUCUCGCUCCAAUUUAUAGGAGGGAGAGGAUGUUCUUUGAUAUACAUAUACCCAUUGUGAGAUUAAGAAACAAUGGUUCACAU